CGGUUAAGUUAGAAAGGGCGCACGGUGGAUGCCUUGGCACUAGGAGCCGAUGAAGGACGGGACGAACACCGAUAUGCUUCGGGGAGCUGUAAGCAAGCUUUGAUCCGGAGAUUUCCGAAUGGGGAAACCCACCACUCGUAAUGGAGUGGUAUCCAUAUCUGAAUACAUAGGAUAUGAGAAGGCAGACCCGGGGAACUGAAACAUCUAAGUACCCGGAGGAAGAGAAAGCAAAUGCGAUUCCCUGAGUAGCGGCGAGCGAAACGGGAUCAGCCCAAACCAAGAGGCUUGCCUCUUGGGGUUGUAGGACACUCUGUACGGAGUUACAAAGGAACGAGGUAGAUGAAGAGGUCUGGAAAGGCCCGCCAUAGGAGGUAACAGCCCUGUAGUCAAAACUUCGUUCUCUCCUGAGUGGAUCCUGAGUACGGCGGAACACGUGAAAUUCCGUCGGAAUCCGGGAGGACCAUCUCCCAAGGCUAAAUACUCCCUAGUGACCGAUAGUGAACCAGUACCGUGAGGGAAAGGUGAAAAGCACCCCGGAAGGGGAGUGAAAGAGAUCCUGAAACCGUGUGCCUACAAGUAGUCAGAGCCCGUUAACGGGUGAUGGCGUGCCUUUUGUAGAAUGAACCGGCGAGUUACGAUCCCGUGCAAGGUUAAGCAGAAGAUGCGGAGCCGCAGCGAAAGCGAGUCUGAAUAGGGCGAAUUGAGUACGUGGUCGUAGACCCGAAACCAGGUGAUCUACCCAUGUCCAGGGUGAAGUUCAGGUAACACUGAAUGGAGGCCCGAACCCACGCACGUUGAAAAGUGCGGGGAUGAGGUGUGGGUAGGGGUGAAAUGCCAAUCGAACCUGGAGAUAGCUGGUUCUCUCCGAAAUAGCUUUAGGGCUAGCCUCAAGGUAAGAGUCUCGGAGGUAGAGCACUGAUUGGACUAGGGGCCCCUACCGGGUUACCGAAUUCAGUCAAACUCCGAAUGCCGAUGACUUAUCCUUGGGAGUCAGACUGCGAGUGAUAAGAUCCGUAGUCGAAAGGGAAACAGCCCAGACCGCCAGCUAAGGUCCCAAAGUAUACGUUAAGUGGAAAAGGAUGUGGAGUUGCUUAGACAACCAGGAUGUUGGCUUAGAAGCAGCCACCAUUUAAAGAGUGCGUAAUAGCUCACUGGUCGAGUGACUCUGCGCCGAAAAUGUACCGGGGCUAAACGUAUCACCGAAGCUGCGGACUGUUCUUCGAACAGUGGUAGGAGAGCGUUCUAAGGGCUGUGAAGCAAGACCGGAAGGACUUGUGGAGCGCUUAGAAGUGAGAAUGCCGGUAUGAGUAGCGAAAGAGGGGUGAGAAUCCCCUCCACCGAAUGCCUAAGGUUUCCUGAGGAAGGCUCGUCCGCUCAGGGUUAGUCGGGACCUAAGCCGAGGCCGAAAGGCGUAGGCGAUGGAUAACAGGUUGAUAUUCCUGUACCACCUCCUCACCAUUUGAGCAAUGGGGGGACGCAGGAGGAUAGGGUAAGCGCGGUAUUGGAUAUCCGCGUCCAAGCAGUUAGGCUGGGAAAUAGGCAAAUCCGUUUCCCGUGAAGGCUGAGCUGUGAUGGCGAGCGAAUUAUAGUAGCGAAGUUCCUGAUUCCACACUGCCAAGAAAAGCCUCUAGCGAGGUGAGAGGUGCCCGUACCGCAAACCGACACAGGUAGGCGAGGAGAGAAUCCUAAGGUGAUCGAGAGAACUCUCGUUAAGGAACUCGGCAAAAUGACCCCGUAACUUCGGGAGAAGGGGUGCUCUGUUAGGGUGCAAGCCCGAGAGAGCCGCAGUGAAUAGGCCCAGGCGACUGUUUAGCAAAAACACAGGUCUCUGCGAAGCCGUAAGGCGAAGUAUAGGGGCUGACGCCUGCCCGGUGCUGGAAGGUUAAGAGGAGCGCUUAGCGUAAGCGAAGGUGCGAAUUGAAGCCCCAGUAAACGGCGGCCGUAACUAUAACGGUCCUAAGGUAGCGAAAUUCCUUGUCGGGUAAGUUCCGACCCGCACGAAAGGCGCAACGAUCUGGGCACUGUCUCAACGAGAGACUCGGUGAAAUUAUAGUACCUGUGAAGAUGCAGGUUACCCGCGACAGGACGGAAAGACCCCGUGGAGCUUUACUGCAGCCUGAUAUUGAAUGUUGGUACAGCUUGUACAGGAUAGGUAGGAGCCUUGGAAACCGGAGCGCCAGCUUCGGUGGAGGCAUCGGUGGGAUACUACCCUGGCUGUAUUGACCUUCUAACCCGCCGCCCUAAUCGGGCGGGGAGACAGUGUCAGGUGGGCAGUUUGACUGGGGCGGUCGCCUCCUAAAAGGUAACGGAGGCGCCCAAAGGUUCCCUCAGAAUGGUUGGAAAUCAUUCGCAGAGUGUAAAGGCACAAGGGAGCUUGACUGCGAGACCUACAAGUCGAGCAGGGACGAAAGUCGGGCUUAGUGAUCCGGUGGUUCCGCAUGGAAGGGCCAUCGCUCAACGGAUAAAAGCUACCCCGGGGAUAACAGGCUUAUCUCCCCCAAGAGUCCACAUCGACGGGGAGGUUUGGCACCUCGAUGUCGGCUCAUCGCAUCCUGGGGCUGUAGUCGGUCCCAAGGGUUGGGCUGUUCGCCCAUUAAAGCGGUACGCGAGCUGGGUUCAGAACGUCGUGAGACAGUUCGGUCCCUAUCCGUCGCGGGCGCAGGAAAUUUGAGAGGAGCUGUCCUUAGUACGAGAGGACCGGGAUGGACGCACCGCUGGUGUACCAGUUGUUCUGCCAAGGGCAUCGCUGGGUAGCUAUGUGCGGACGGGAUAAGUGCUGAAAGCAUCUAAGCAUGAAGCCCCCCUCAAGAUGAGAUUUCCCAUUCCGCAAGGAAGUAAGAUCCCUGAAAGAUGAUCAGGUUGAUAGGUCUGAGGUGGAAGUGUGGCGACACAUGGAGCUGACAGAUACUAAUCGAUCGAGGACUUAACCAAUUU
rnacentral:rRNA from 1 species